CAGUUUCGGUGGUAUAUUCCUGAUGAGACCCUCACUGUGCUUGGAAGCUCUUGCAUUUUUCUAAGUUGAUUCGCCUAAACCGGCUUGAGCACUCCUCCCCAGCACUGUCAGGAAGUCUGUUGCGAUGUUGGCUCGAUCUUUGGAUUUCUGGAUCAUUCAAGAAGCCCAGAAAAUCGUGGUCCCUCCAUCUCUCCAAGCUUGAUCUUAUGACCCUGAGACCAAGACCCU